AAUUGCUUUGGAUGGAGACUAUGCUUCUUUUGAGCUGCUGCUGGUUGUUGGAAGGGACUGUGCUGUCUGAGGAUGAAGGCAUCUGGGAUGAGCUGCAUAACGCAACAGAAACAGCACGGUCUUUCUUUGCUUAGAAGUUUCAAGCCAGAAAAUUCCUCAGCCUGCUUGAAAGCUCAGAGACAAAAGUCAGAUUUACACAGCUCACCUCAGCAGUCCAGUGCUUAUGAGAGAAAGUGCUGUAAAUUAUUCUGAGGGGAAAAAAAAAAGGAAGACUCCUCAUCUUUCUUUCUGAUUGUCACAUUUUAUUUCUGCAGAGAAAACCUGCCAAUUCUUUAUGUGAUUUCAAUAUUUCUAAAAAUGAUCAUAUCAACAGCAUGCACCUUUAUCCGACACAUUCAGCUUCUCAAAUGUGACAUGAGAGUGUAUGAUUUAAUUCUCCCUUUGACAUGAGUGUUGGAUUCUGAUCAGUCUUUCAGUUUACCUCCACUGAUGAUCCAUCCAAAUAAGUGUCAGGGUUCUUUCACGAUAACUCUUUCUCCACCAGUAAGGCAUUAUUUAAAUGUGGCAUUCUCUUGUCCCUUAAAAAAAUCCCAUUCUAAAUUGAUUCACGAGGAUGGAGCAAAAGGGGUUUUAAGAACAGAUUUGAGUUGUUAGCAUGCGUUGUAAAACUAUCAACAGCUUCCUUGGGGUCUAACAGGAAUGCUGAAAACUAUGUCAAAGCUUAUACAAAUAUUUAAGUGGAAGGCUUUCCAAUGUAAAUCUCAAUAAAAUGAAAUCAAAUAUGUGGUGCG
ensembl:lncRNA